UCAAUGUAAUGAGUAGCGAACGGGUGAGUAACCACGUGGGGAAUCUGCCUCUGAGCGGGGGACAACUACUUAGGAAACGAUAGCUAAUACCGCAUAACAGUUUUAAUCGCAUGAUUGGAACUUGAAAGGUGCAAUUGCACCACUCAGAGAUGAUCCCGCGUUGUAUUAGCUAGUUGGUGAGGUAAAGGCUCACCAAGGCAACAGAUACAUAGCCGACCUGAGAGGGUGAUCGGCCACACUGGGACUGAGACACGGCCCAGACUCCUACGGGAGGCAGCAGUGGGGAAUAUUGCACAAUGGGGGAAACCCUGAUGCAGCGACGCCGCGUGGAGGAUGACGGCCUUCGGGUUGUAAACUCCUUUCAGUAGGGAAGAAGCGAAAGUGACGGUACCUACAGAAGAAGCACCGGCUAACUACGAUGCCAGCAGCCGCGGUAAUAC
rnacentral:rRNA from 1 species